UCCCACUGUGAAUUUGGUUUGAGGUUAUGA
rnacentral:piRNA from 1 species